rnacentral:ncRNA from 1 species
ACAUAAGCAAAGACAGGGAAGAGUACGAUACAAACCUGCUUCAAGAGAGGGAAAUCAUUAGCUGGAAGAUUUCCUAAGCAGCAUAUCGGAAGGUCACCCACGAGCUUCUUCUGCGAACGGAUCUAAACAUCCUAUUAGUUGAAGACGGACUAAAUCCGUUAUCUACAUAAGUGCCAAUCCGUUUUUUGGAUUGGAAAAAAGGUGGUACCGCGAAGCAAACUCCAUUCGUCCUUUUA